rnacentral:tRNA from 1 species
GGAAUCUUAGCUCAGUUGGUUUAGAGCGCUGCUUUGACAGAGCAGAGGUCGGGGGUUCGAAUCCCUCAGGUUCCA